CAGUAGCCGCGGUAAUACGAAGGGUGCAAGCGUUAAUCGGAAUUACUGGGCGUAAAGCGUGCGUAGGCGGUGAGUUAAGUCUGCUGUGAAAUCCCCGGGCUCAACCUGGGAAUGGCAGUGGAUACUGGCUCGCUAGAGUGUGUCAGAGGAUGGUGGAAUUCCCGGUGUAGCGGUGAAAUGCGUAGAGAUCGGGAGGAACAUCAGUGGCGAAGGCGGCCAUCUGGGACAACACUGACGCUGAGGCACGAAAGCGUGGGGAGCAAACAGGAUUAGAGACCCCGGUAGUCCCUGUCUCUUAUAA
rnacentral:rRNA from 1 species